UGAGGCCGCUGAAGGGCACCGGAUGC
rnacentral:piRNA from 1 species